GUCGAACGGCAGCACAGAGGAGCUUGCUCCUUGGGUGGCGAGUGGCGGACGGGUGAUAGAAACCUCGGAAUCUACUUUUUCGUGGGGGAUAACGUAGCGAUACUUACGCUAAUACCGCAUACGACCUACGGGUGAAAGCAGGGGACCUUCGGGCCUUGCGCGAUUGAAUGAGCCGAUGUCGGAUUAGCUAGUUGGCGGGGUAAAGGCCCACCAAGGCGACGAUCCGUAGCUGGUCUGAGAGGAUGAUCAGCCACACUGGAACUGAGACACGGUCCAGACUCCUACGGGAGGCAGCAGUGGGGAAUAUUGGACAAUGGGCGCAAGCCUGAUCCAGCCAUACCGCGUGGGUGAAGAAGGCCUUCGGGUUGUAAAGCCCUUUUGUUGGGAAAGAAAUCCAGCCGGCUAAUACCUGGUUGGGAUGACGGUACCCAAAGAAUAAGCACCGGCUAACUUCGUGCCAGCAGCCGCGGUAAUACGAAGGGUGCAAGCGUUACUCGGAAUUACUGGGCGUAAAGCGUGCGUAGGUGGUUGUUUAAGUCUGGUGUGAAAGCCCUGGGCUCCACCUGGGAACUGCAGUGGAAACUGGACAACUAGAGUGUGGUAGAAGGUAGCGGAAUUCCCGGUGUAGCAGUGAAAUGCGUAGAGAUCGGGAGGAACAUCCAUGGCGAAAGCAGCUACCUGGACCCACACUGACACUGAAGGACGAAAGCGUGGGGAGCAAACAAGAAUAAAUAACCUGGUAGUCCACCGCCUAAACGAUGCGGACUGGAUGGUGGGGGGAAUUUGGGACGCAGUAUCGAAGCUAAAGCGUUUAGUUCGCCGGCUGGGGAGGACCGGCCCAAGACUGAAA
rnacentral:rRNA from 1 species